AUGGGGUCAGCUGUUCUCCUGCUGUGCCUGCUGCUCUGGGUUCCAGGUUCUACUGCGGACAUUGUGUUGACCCAGUCUCCAGCUUUAUUGGUUGUGCUUCUUGGGCAUAGAGCCACCAUCUUCUGCAGGGCCAGCCAGAGUGUCACUAUAGACAGUUUUUAUCUUACGCACUGGUACCAAAAGAAACCAGGACAGUCUCCCAAACUCCUUAUCUAUGAAGCAUCCAACCUAGAAUCUGGGGUGCCUGACAGGUUCAGUGGCAGUGGGUCUGGAACAGACUUCACCCUCACCAUCAGUCCUGUGGAGGCUGAUGAUGCUGCAACCUAUUACUGUCAGCAGAGUUAUGACCUACCUCCCACAGUGCUUUAG